ACAAAUGUAGGGUUUAGUGGUGGCAAGAGUAGAGAGUUUCAAGAAAAGAAGUGCAAUUAAUAAACCCUAAACGGAGGGAGGAGUGAAGAUGUUGAGAGGCAAACCUGCCGGCGUAAAGAUCCUUUGGGUUUGGGCAAUUGGAACUGCUGCUGUUCUCGUGGCAAAUGUGGCGAGAACAGGGAUGAGGGACGUGCAGAAGCUGAUAAAGCAAGAUGAGGAACAGAGGAACAAUGAAGUUGAAUUUGUAAUGACGGACGGAUCAACUGGAUAUGAUGAAUCUGUUGUUGAAGAUGAGGGGAAAUUAUUGUAAGCAAAAUUUUCAAUUUUGUUUUGAAUUUCUGUCUUCUUCCUUCUUCAAAUUGCAAUAAUAAUACUAAUAAUGUCUUCUUAUUUGAUUCCA